AGAGUUUGAUCAUGGCUCAGAAUCAACGCUGGCGGCGCGCUUAACACAUGCAAGUCGCACGAGAAAGGGGGCAACCCUGAGUACAGUGGCGUACGGGUGAGUAACACGUGGAUUAUCUACCUUUUAGUGGGGAAUACCUCUGGGAAACCGGAGACAAUACCGCAUAAGCUCGUAAGAGGAAAGCAGCAAUGCGCUGAAAGAGGAGUCCGCGGCUGAUUAGCUAGUUGGCGGGGUAACGGCCCACCAAGGCGAAGAUCGGUAGCCGGCCUGAGAGGGCACACGGCCACACUGGCACUGAAAUACGGGCCAGACUCCUACGGGAGGCAGCAGUGGGGAAUCUUGCACAAUGGAGGCAACUCUGAUGCAGCGACGCCGCGUGAGCGAUGAAGCCCUUCGGGGUGUAAAGCUCUUUCGACGGGGAAGAUUAUGACGGUACCCGGAGAAGAAGCUGCGGCUAACUACGUGCCAGCAGCCGCGGUAAUACGUAGGCAGCAAGCGUUGUUCGGAAUUAUUGGGCGUAAAGAGUGCGUAGGCGGUGUUCCAAGUCUGUCGUGAAAUCUCCCGGCUUAACUGGGAGGGUGCGGCGGAAACUGGAACGCUAGAGGGUGGGAGAGGUAAGCGGAAUUCCUGGUGUAGCGGUGAAAUGCGUAGAUAUCAGGAGGAACACCUGUGGUGUAGAC
rnacentral:rRNA from 1 species